UACGAUGCCGAUGUGGACGGACAUGCGGCCGCUUUCCAGAGGCCAAACGUUCUGCAAAUGCUUUUGUAUGUGCAUGCUAAUGUGUGCUAGUGCUUGUGCUAAUGGGCGGAGCGUUUAGAGGGGCGUAUAGGGCGCAGAGACGAAAUCUGGCAGUCCCACCCACAUCCGCGUGACGAAACCUUGGGGACCCCCGACCCCGACGACCGACCCUGAACUUUGAGGGCCCAUAACUUUAUAACGUCCUAUAACUACAAGCCUCUAGGGCUCAGCCCCUAGCCUUACGAGCCUCGGCUCGUGAGGGAGCGCACAACAUUUUCGUUGGCGGCUUUGGCUUUCGUUACUAACUUUUUGUAGCCUUUUGCGGGCUCUGUGAGGCUUUACGACUUGGUUCCGACUUGGUUUGGAUGGCUUCGGCCUUGGGUGGGUGCGUCGCGCCCUGUUUUCGGCAUUGCGCGUUCUGUGGCGGCUGGCCGCGUCUGGGUGGCCGGCCGCGCUCGUUCUGCUCUGUGGUCGCUUUUUGGUUUCGUGUGUGCAGGUUACGGGUGGCCCUGGUGGUCGCUCGUGGCCCGGCGCAAGCUUCGAUGUUCCGUGGUGCUCCUCGGCGCCUCUCCUCGUGCCGCCUGGCCCGCCGUCGUCUCCACCGGCGGCCUUGCUGGCUCAGCAGAUAGUUAGGUUGCGGGUGCCGUUCGUAGCAUGGCGGUUCAGGGACCGUUAGGCAGCAGAUGACGCUGGUCGGGUAGUCCCGGGUGUCGGGUUGUGAGUGCCUGGGCGGCUGUUGCCCGGGCGCCCGGGCGGCUGGUGCGCCUGUUCGCCUCCGGGCGCGCGCGUGCCUGUUUGUCGGGUCGGUCUAGUUCGCUGGUGGGGCGGGUGGAGGGCGGUGUGCCCGUGGCGAGGUGUUGUGGUGUACUGGUGGUUUGGUCAGUUUCCGGCUCGGUUUCCCUUUGUGGUGCCUCGGCACCGACGUUUCAGGACAUGGGCCUCCGGGCCAAGACAUUGCGCGUCUGUGACGCCGUCGAGAAAAUGUGUGGUGCUUGCGUUUGAUGGGGAUGUCGGCAGACCUCUGGCCUGUCGCGCCUUGUUGUGCGUUGGUGCUGCCGCCAAAAGACCUAAACGAGAUGAGGGGUGUUACGUGGCGGUGGGGCUUUGGCGGGCUUCGGCUUGGCUUCGACUCAUGUGCGUAACACUAUGAAGGUCGGCAGCCAACCAGGGGGCGGGUGUUGUUUCUCUGGGUCGCAGAUGGCCCUUCGCGGCGUGGGUACGGCGUGCCCCCGCUUGUCGGGUUGUCCCUUCAAUUGUAAUCCGCAUCCAUAACUUUGCAAUUACUACCCUGAUUGAAACUCUGAAAGUGGAUUUGGAGUCCUCGCGUCAAGCUCUUUCGUUUUAGAACAUGGGGCCUUUCCCAGUCGAAACGGCCCCCCCCUGUUCUCACGUUUGUCCGGGUGCAUACAGGGGGCAUUGGGCAGGGUUGCGCUUUGGCACCUGUGGCUAGGUGAGAGGUGUGGGCGUGUGGCACUGUAGUGCAGGGGCGGGAAGGGUGCAAUGCAACUGUCAACCGACAGGAAGUCCGUUGCUGCUUAGGUUAUGACAAGACCGACGAGGACCCUGCCCGUUGCUAGCAAUAAUCGUGUCCACCCGACACGAGACAGGACCAAGGCAGUAUGGUAAAUUACGACACUUACAGCUGGCGAUCUCAGCGCCGCUGCCUUCACCUGCUAGGCGCGCCGCCCCUAAGCCCAGGCCAGUCUGCUGGGAAAGCUUGCGUAGAGACAGCUCGCCGUCCCUACCGUACUGAGCUUGUUUACCGCACACGUACAUGGCUUUGACUCCACCCAGCGACUAUGACGCCACCAGCUCACUUAUACUCGCUAACGCCGUCACGUUCUGCUGCACGAUGUCUAGAUAGUUAAUGCUUGUCCUGCUUGCCGCACUCUUGCCCCAUGCGCUUGCCGCUUAUACCGUAUUGUUUAUUGCUACCAUACGCUUCCCUACACCAGGAUUGCAGCUUCGCAGGAGCGCGUUAUGUACUUGAUACCCCGCGGUUGCGCAACCUCUACUACCGUAUCAUACGGCAUCUGUCUCCGUCCGCCUCCCUCUCAGCUCUAAAGGUUCAGCGUGAGCGCGGGCCGCUCCGCCGCCGCCACGAUCAAGGCCUUGGCGGUCGGCGCAUCAAUGUUAUUUCCGCUCAGCGAUAAGACGUGCAGCGCGCCGCCACCGGCACUCAGGCCGUCGCUGCUGACCCUGCCGGACAGCAUGUCGCUGCCGCUGCCGGCCCCCGACAGGGAUGUGCCGGCGGCGGAGAUCCGCGGCCGCACAGCUCCGGCGGCACGGAUGGCGCCCGCAAAGCAGGCGGCAGCGGAGCCAGCAAUACCGCAGCUGCUCACGUUGAGCUCCUCCAGCGUCCUGCAAGAGGAAAGCAGUGAGUUACCAUGUUGGGUGCGCUUGCGAGACGGGCAUAUGCUCCUAGCGCUGUGGAGCCGCGCACACCUGUUCAGGCGCAGCGCCUGUGCCAGUGCCUCAGCGCCCGCCGCGCCAAGCCCCUCCAUGCGCUGCCCCGACAGGUCCAGUCGGCGCAGGCCACUGUUGGUGUCCAGGCAGCGCGCCAGGCUGCGUGCACCCGCGGCGUGAAUGGAGUUCCUGCGGGGCGACAGGAGGUGAAGCAGGCGAUCAGCAUGGCGUGCGAUAUUGCAUCAGGCUUGAGGUCAUGAGGCGUGAGCUGGUGGGGUUUUGUCGCGCGCAAGUGCACGUGUCGUGCAAGUUGCAUACACACCUGCUCAGGGUGAGCUCGCGCAGGCCCGUGUUGCCAGCCAUGCCGAGCGCCAGCAGCGCCGCGCCGCCAUCUGCAAGUAACAUGUUGACACCGCAUCUCUCGAUGGUGAUACGCAUGAGAAGCACUCGAAUGGAUGCUCAGAGCGCACACGCCUAUGGAUAAACUUGAACCCCAAAAGCCGCUCUUACCGCCGAGCUUGUUGCCGUCCAGGCGCAGGCACCUCAGCCCUGGGCAGCUGAGCAGCACCGCCAUCACCAGCACCAUGUGGUGGGACUCCAGCGCCUCACUCGAUAGGUCGCACUCCAGAGCCGCCUGCUCUGUAACACUCAGCGAGAUGGCUGAGGCUGACACAGCAAGCAGGUCGGCGGUGGCAGCUGAGGAGGCGGUUGAACACGCGGUCUGCGGCCGGGAUGGCGCUGCGGCCAGCCGCAGCAUGUCACGGUACCAGCCGUCCAGGCGCUCAUUGCCGCUGUACAGAUGCAGUGUGCCCUGUGCGGCACCACGACAGCAAGGUUUUUAUUGUGACGGUAACCUGUGUAAGUAGCUACCGUAUGAUGCAAUCCCUGUCGCCUCUCAAACCCGCAUACCUGGCCGCCGGAGGCAUUGGCCGCAGCUGUCACCGCCGCUAGCUCGUCGUCUCCGUCGCAGCCGGUCGCCAGCUCCACCAGCCCCGCCGCCAGCAGGUCGCGCAGCAUGGCGGCAGACUCCGCGUCGAACAGGUUGGUGGCUAGCUGCACGCUGUGGGUGGGGAUAGGCGGCGAAAACGUGUCAGUGGGCUACGGGAUUGCUGCCUUUCCUGUUGCCUAACGGCAUCAUAGUACAACAGAAGCUAUGCGCGGCAUAUGGUGCGUCUGCGCAGACCUGCAUCUGCGGACACCGUGGUGCAGCAGCAGCACCUUACCUGCGCAGCAUGCCCCCACCGCAGCCGCCCAGGGCCAGGAAGGGCAGUGCAGUGCCGUUGCCCAUCUCGCCCCAAGUCCAUCCCGCCAGCUGCAGCGUUUGCAGGCUGCGCAGGCGGGCGUAACACAGCAGGCCAAGGGCAAACGAUGUCGUCAACCAUCACACACAAUACACAGCCACACACAGCCACGAGUGGUGUGCUUCAUCUUCCUGGUGCUGAGAUGCCCCGCCUGGGAACCAUUUCACAAGUCGCACCUGUUGUUGAGGCCGAUGGCGGCAGCCAGAGAAACGAUGCGCAGGCCGGCCUGCACGACCGGCAGGGCAUGAGAGGAAGCACCCAUUUUGGCAAUUUCCAAACGAGAUGAACAGUUCAACAUGUCGCAUUCGCACCCCGCAACCGUUGUACAACGGCCUGCAUGCCGCUCCCACGCCCGCGCCCACGCCGCACCCACCCAUGCGACCACGCCGCACCUUCUCCCAAGUGACCUCCCGCGACGUGUCCAGGUCCAGCGCCAGGUGCCGCAGCCGGCUGCUGUCCAUGAUGCCGGCAGUCAGGGCGCCCAGCAGCGGCAGCGGCGACUCGCAGAUCUGCAGCACAGGCGGCGUCACACGGCUCACAUCCCAUCACGAGACCGUGGCUGGCAGAAUGACCUCAGGGUGUACUGUUUACGCGGCUGUGGAGGGCAACACGGACGCGCUGCCAACGACCCUUUCACCUUUAGUCGAAGACGCUGCUCACUGACGACCGCGCUGUAGCCGUCAGCUGACUCGGCAGCCUGGGUCGUUUAUGGCACAUGAAGGCCGGCCGUGACUCAGCGUGCAAACCGUGGCCGUCAAACCCGAGCCAAUGUGCCUGCGUCUCAUACCAUGAACGUCCCGUCCCGGUGUGUCAACCACCCGCAGGUAGCCCGCCGCUUCCCACCUGACCGCCGCUGGAGCGGCCGCUGCUCGCCGCCUGGGAGGCCUGGCCCUUGUUGGCCAUGCGCGCGAUCGCCGUCAGCAGCAUGAUCUUACGCCGCAGGUCCACCGAUGCGUUGUCAUAGGCCGCGCGCAACCGCCGCGCCUCACUGGAAGCCGUCUCGGCCGCGUCACGCGCUGCGCGUGCCGCCGCUGAGCUCUCCUCCGCCGCCUUCCGCGCCGCCGCCUCGGCUGCGGUGACCUCCUCCAGCUGCUCCCGCAGGGUGCCCGCCUCGGCGUCCAGCUCGUGAAGGCGCGCCAGCGCUGCGCUGUGGUCCUUGGCCAUCGUGGCCAGCUGCUUGGCGGUGGUGAUGACGCUCUACGAGGUUACGACAGCGGGCAUACAAGGUAAUGCGGGCGUGCGGGUACUGUAAGCGGAGACUGAUGCGGUACUAGUAGGCUGGCGCAUAUGUGUGCGUGUUUGAUGUCAGCAUGCAACUCGCAUGCAUCUCAGCAGCACCCCAGCCACCGUUGACAGCACCCACCUGCUUGCUGCUGAGGUAUUGGCUGUUGGCCUCAGCCAGGCGCGACUCCUGGCCCGACAGGUCCGCCAGCGCACGGCUGAGCCGGUCGCUGGUAGUGGUCAGCGCAGUCCGGCUCUCCUGUGAAGUUGCGUGAACCAUUGUUCAGCACUCGCAGCGGAAUCCACAUACACGUGUCAAACGACACUGGCAUAUGCGCAAGUCGUGGACUUGCCUGCAGCUGGUCCUGCGCGUCUGUCAGCGCUUGGCCCUGCACCGCCAGCUGCUGCUGCGCCGCGGCCAGGUCGCGCUGGCUGGUGGCGAGCUGGCCGCGGCAGCUCUCCAGCGCCUCCCUGGCCGCCGCCUCCGAUUGCCGCACGUCACGCAGCUGCGAGCACAGGCCACGUGGGCUACGGUCAGAAGGCAGGCUACCCACCCUUACAUCAUGACAGCAGUGCACGUGGGCAUGCCGCACCAACGCGCCAAAGGGCUGUUUUAAGCGAAGGCUCCAGGAGCUUGCCGACUGACCGGAGCUUAAAACAAGUUUUGAAGUAGGGAGCAGUGUUUGAGCGGGAGGUGGUUCAGUUGCAGGGGGUAAGAAGUGCAGGGCCCGGGGUUUCGUGUGUCGCUCUGAAGGCCGCAUUCACCAUCACAUCGAGGUCUUAAAUGCUGUCUUUCUGUGUGGUUUGUUUUAUUAAGUUACGUUUGCGUACGGUAGCUGAUGAGCGAGCAACUUAUGCCGCCGUGCUUCGGAAAGCUAUCGAGUUCCUGGUUAGGAGGCCGCGUGCGCUUGCUGGCGCUCUCUUUUGUUGCCCGCCCGCCCACCCCCUCUCCUUUCUUUCAGCGUUUGUUGCUUUGGCUGACGACAUGGGGGCCUUUCCUCAUUGUUGGGGUGCAAGUGCUGUGUUGAUUCAGGUUGGUUGCUGGUCCGGGGGGGUGGUUUCUGCCCGGUGUGUGGUGGCGAGAAGCCAAACCGGGCAGACCAAGUGAAGCAGCAUCCCGGUUGCUGCUGGCUGGUGGUCGGUAAGCUUGGGUGCAGAGACGCCAAGUUUCCGGCCAUCUGGCAAUCCCCCCCAAAACUUGAUGCUAAGGAAGGUAGUUGGUCGCUACCGGUGGCAUGCAUUGAGCGUUGAAGGCACGGCACUACGGCACCCCCUGCUUUACUAUUUGCACCGGGAUUCCUGUCCCUUCCGGCGCCGAGCCCCACCUCGGCAGCGGCGGACUGGUACAGCUGCUGCUGGUGGGACAGCUCGCCCGUCAGCUUGGUCAGCUCGGCCCGCGCCGCAGUGAGCUCCUCCUCACGCGCCGCAAGCGCCGUGCGGGCCGUCUCCAGCUCCGUGCCCGCAUUCGCCAGCUGCAGCAACAUGACAUCAAAGACGAGACAAAGAGCCACAACAAGUAAUGCUGGUGGCCCGGAGAAGUACUGCCGUAACAUGACAGCAAUUUGCUCCAGGUGCGCACCCACGCGCCUGCUCCUGUGUGGCGGCCUCCCGCUCCGCCGCCUGCUGCGCCGCCGCGCCGGCCUCCGCCAGCUGGGCCUGCAGGCUGCGCGCCUCCGCCUCCGCCACCCGCACGCGCCCGUUGGCUGCCUCCAUGUCCGCCAGGUACUUGGCCAGCUGCACACGUGGAUAGGGCGGGUGGUGAUACGCGGGUGUGACGAACAGGCCGAACAAUAGUAACAUGGUGGCGCGAAUCCUGCAAUGCAGACGAGGCCCAGUCAGGCGCAACCCACCUGCGCCGCGUCGGCAUUCCAGGUCUUCUUUCCAUUUGAUAGCUCGCCACUGCGAGCGCAAUAGCAGGCGGCACCAUAUAGGCGCAUGAGGAUAUGGCUAGCAUGUGAAUUACCUAAUGCCGCUAUGUGGUUGCUCAAGCCGAACCCGGAUUGCCAGGCGUUUAAGGCACGCUUUAUACCAACCCAAGCGCCACCCAUCUCCCCAACCCCCCUGUAAUGCCCGUUGCCAAUGAAGCGGAGGCAUCGGCGUGUCAUAGCAAGGACGUCACUCACAGAACAGUGUCCAGCUGGCCCUUCACCUCCUGGUUCAUCUCUGCAGUUCACAUCAAUGGUCAAGUCACAAGUCACACGCAGUUGUUUCGGCCAGCCGCAAAAGCAAAACUCUGGAAGCAACCGACCAUUCAGCUUGCGGCCUGCCCCACCUGUGAGUUGGCUGUUCUCCUGCUGCAGCGCCUCACACUGCAUCUGCAGCACCCGGCGCUGCUCCGCCGCAGCUGCCUCAGCCGUCUCCAGCUUCUUGCGGAUGCGCGUGAAGUCGGAGUGCAGCGCCCUCCGGUCCUCGUCAGACUGCUUCAACGCGGCUUGCAUGGCCGCCAGGUGCGUCAGCAGGGUCUCCUGCGCAUCCGCAACGCCCGCCAUGGCUUCAGCAACGGACCUGGGGCUGCCGUUGCCAGCCGCUGAGGUCGCGUUGGCGCCCAUCGCCACCUCCACAGGCUUUUGCUCGGCUGAGAUUUCAUCCGUCUGCCCUCGCGGCGAUGCCAGCGGCUUGGCGGUAGAGCCAUCCUCUGGUGCCAGGGCAGCAGGCGCCCCGCCCUGCACACAAUCAGCCUGCAGCACCACCACAUCCGCCGCCCGCUUGGCAAGGCUUUUGGUGGCGUCAGCCUCUGAUGCGGCCGCCGCCUCCGUUCGUGCCGCGAGGUACUGCAUGGAGGCCUGGGUUGAGGCCUGCAGGCGUGAUUGAAAGGACGCCAGCUGCGACUGCCGUUCGCCAUCUUGCGCUUGCAGAGUCUGCAGCUGUGAACUGAGGUCCGUGCGUUGGCCCGCUAGCACGUCGCGUUGCUUCGUUGUUGCCACCAACUGGGACUGGACGUCCACAAGCUUUUGUUUGAGAGCCGCAUUCUCUGACUCCAAGCCAUUCUUUGCCCGCUCAAGCUCAAGCAGCACCACUACAAAGGGGGGCGUGCACAUGAAGUUGAGGGGUCGCUCACCGGGGGCGGCAGCGGGGGGUAGCUUGCAGACGAGAAGGUCCCGUCCAACCACUUUGUACGGGGGCCCCAGCAGGGGUAGCUUCGUGGGGUAGCUUGCAGACGAGAAGGUCCCCUCCACCAACAAUUUCGUGAUUCUUUUCGACUAUGCGGAAUAAUUAAUAAAUGGAGAUGUGCCACGAGCCACCUCGAAGCGCCUCCCCUCAUCGUUAUCCCCCCAACGCGACAUCGGCGCUGCCCAUACUGUGCCGGGCGGAAUUACCUUUCUUGCUCGGAAUGUCAGCUUUCGGCCUGAAGCACGCCAUCGCUACGUGUGCGCGCAAGGCAGCGCUAGCUGUGCGCUUGCCAGUAGGUGCCCUAGAACCUAGUCGUCUCUUAUUUGCAUGCCAGUGGGUUCGAACCACCACGAGUAAUACCAGUACGCUUUGGAUGUAUCAAUUAAGAGCGCGACUGCGCGAGAGAAACUGCAAGCAGACUGAAUCCAAUGCCGAUGGUUGACUUUUUGCACAACGCAGCGUCACAAAACCCUUACGGCCUCAUAUACACCUAGCGACACAGUACCAAUUAGGGGAACUUCGAAAUGCUCCGCGGGUGAGCGUACGCUUGGUUUCACAACGGCUUUCACGGCGCGUCGACGAUUAGAUACUGAGUACUACAUUUUGUUCUUGUAGGUUGAAGAAGGCAUUCAGUCGCGGCCGCCGAGGCGGUGACGACAGCACGCAGGACGUCGAAUGCGAGGAAGGUGCGCAGGCACGACUGGCGCAACUAAUGCGUUACAUAGAUACUACAGCUGCGUUGACAAUCGCGCUGGCCCAUUUCGUUUGCGGGGGCGCAACUGGGGUGCCCCCGCAACUGGGACGUGCGCGGCUGUGCGGUCCGGCAUGGCGGUCGUUUCACACUCCCUACCCUUCAAAGGCAUAACAAGCAUCCCCUUAAACCCCAUACGCUUCGUAGAAAUUGACCAUGGCGACGACGCAACCAACAGCCCCGUUAUGGUGGUUAGCAGGCAGCAGCAUACUGACGCGGCCGGAGGCCGCGGGGAUAUGGCGCACAGCGCCGCGCCACCGCCCCCAGGAGGCUACCGCGGUCAGCCCAUUGCGCCAGCACGUGCCACGAAUGCUUGGUCCUUUGGAAACUUAGCCGUAGAAGAUGACGCGCCGGCGUCAGCCCACACGGGUUCCGCGUCCACGGCAGCGACCACAGUGCCGCGCAGCCCUGCGGCCCAUGUGACGGCGUCAUCACCGUCCGCAGCGGCGGCGCAGCCAGCACAUUCGAGUGCGGCAUGGAGCGCCGCACCAGGCGUGGAAAAGGAGCACAAGCCUUCGAAGCUGUCGGCGUUGUUCCAUCGGUCAGGCAGCAAGAAGGCUGAGAAGGUCACGGCGCUGGGCAGCGCUGAUGUUCACACGCAUUUCAGCGACAAGUUCCGCGGUAGGUGUAUGAGGUCCCCAAGCAGAUUUGGCUGCAUGAUGGGGGCUACCAUCCAGCAGUGACUUUGUGUGCUCCACAGCACACCAUGGUUUGCAAACCCUGUCCCACCGCAAUGGCUUCCAAACGCCGUCCCACCGCAGAGCCGACGGAGGUGCGGACUGGCCCCGGCUUGCAGCCUCUCCUUGCCUCGCGGCACUUGGUGGCGCGACAGGGGGGUGCGACCGACGCAGAUGACUUGGCAGCGAGCUCCCCCUCGACCCGCAGCGGCGCCGCACGAACAGGCUCCCUCCUUGCUACCCCAUUGGCGGUCGAGGAUCGCCGGGGCCUAGUCAUGUGAGCAUUCUGCAACCAGUCAGGGCUCGAAGAAUGAACUGUAUACUCACGAGGCGAGGGGCAACAACAGCUGUACCCAGGGGCGGCGGUUACUCACACAAGUUGAAACGGGCGUGUGCACAAGUAACUGACGCAUGAACGGCUGGCAGGUCUUACGGUGCCGGCAGCACUGAUUGUAUUCACACACACGAUGCGCCACAAAUACUGCACAGCAUCCACCUUUGUUUACAGCGAUUGAUGUAUGGAGGCGCUAUACCACGUGUGAGCCGGCAGCAGAGCACGAGGGCGGGUGAUGGAGGGGAGCUGUACAGGGUGAUGUAGUACGGUAUCUAACAAUCUGCCUGUCUUGUGCUUCAGUGCGCUAGGACUGUGCAUGUGGGUCUUUUGGUUGGAGGUAGCCGCUAUGAUUACUGGGAUUCGGGCUUGACCUGGCGGGGGUGCGUUGAACGACUGUGGAUUGGAGGGGAUGGCUGGGAGUGCGUGCUGAGUUGGCGGGGGUUGAUCGACUAUAACACCAAAUUGGUUUUGGUAUAAAGCGACGCGCACCAUUUCGCUGGCGGGCUCCACAGGUUGGCGAACUUCACAGUUCCACGAUUGACCAAAGCUUGGAGUAAGGCGUUCCCCAGGCACUUAAACCGUGUUUCUACACUUGCAAUUUUAUUGUGCACUUCAACCUUCUUUCUGGGCUUUCUGGACCUCUUUCAGCGACGCGCACACAAAAGGGGCUUCCGACUAUGGCCUGCUCAGUUCGCUAGACGCCGUAUGGGCACACUGUUUCACUUGGGCGCAAAUAUGGGCAGCUUCUGGGGCUUGCGGAGGACUUUGACUUGCGCUUGGGGCUGCCUUCUGCUGCUGUCUGGACUUGGGCGCGUAUCUUGGGCGCAAACCAGCAGUUUCGGCAGCAGCGUACCAGUUGCCAGCACCAAGGAGCUCCAGGCGGCGCUGGCGAACCAGGCAGUGGAAACCGUCGUCUUAAAUGACUCCCUCGUUCUGAGCGGAGCUGAGUGGGGCAGUAUCCCCGUCACCAUCGACCGGAACGUCACCGUGACAGCAACACCUGACCGAUUGGCGUCACGCACCUACGUGCUCCUCGAUUUCUCGUCACUCAUCAUGCUUUUCCAAGUAUCGUCAGGGUUUCGCUUGACCUUCCGGGGCCUUGAGGUAUGUUUGGUUGUUAACAUGAUUGGGGCACGGGGGGAGGGCAAUGUUUUGCUAGGGGCAAGCGGGGAAGUGUGUCUCAGGUGGCGGGUGGUUGGGUCUGAAGUCACUCCUGCCAAAAUAGAUGCGCUGCUCGCAUGGUGUAUUAACAAGGGUCUUUUGCAGUGGUCUCUGAGUUUGGGGCGGGUUGUCAGCGCACGCAGGGCAGUGGCUCCUCUGAUAUCGUCUGCACCCCACAGCGCGCUGACGACCCCCAUCUGCCUUGCUCCCGCCUCGGUUGGCUUACAUUUGGCUCGGACAAAGAUCGUCAACCAUUUCGGUAAGCAUUGUUGAUAGUGCACGCCUCUUACCGGAGCACACCUGUCAAGAGCCAAGGACCGUUCAAAGGACUAGGCUGGCAAGGACCUAAUUGGGUCUCUCUGGUGAUAUGCAGAUACGGUGGGCCCGACGUUUCGGCCUUUGCGGCAAAGCAUCGGAGCAUGGGGUGAGUGCGUUGGCAAGUCAAGCCUAGGUGGAGAUCUGCCGCGCUAUUUGUUGUCCUAGCACGUCUACGACGACCGUGCUGCUUACAGCCAUAUUCGCUGCUGUCUGCAGUGGUAUUUGAGGACUGCAUGCAGCGGCGCAGAGCGGGUCUGCCCUAUGAGGUGCGUGGGCGCAGGUGUAUGCACGUGGCAGGACGGCCGCUGCAUACAAACCUUCUCGAUCUCAGGCGUCCGGUUAUGACAAGUAUUUUGCGAUGUGUUGCGUGCAGGCGGCGAUGGUCAACAUGCUUGCUGGUGCGUGCGUUGUCGACUUGUGAAGCACUCACGCCACUGCACGGGGUUGCGAGCAACUGCUGUAACUGUGACCAGGUCCUCGCCAGUCAAUGCAAAGGGCCGCUGCUUACCCAUGAUUUAUACUAGAAAAUCCUCAACCUUGGCAUCCGGAAUGCUGCGCAGCCACCCGGCCUACAAACGUGAGCGGGCCCCAGGUAGCGUUCAUUAUCAAGGACUGGAGCUACGCCACCACGCGGUCAAGCCAGCGAGUCAACUAUUCCGAAGCCAUCAGCAUGUGAGCUGCGGGCGUAGCUGGGCUUAGAAGGGGCGGGAGGAGGGCAGUGGCUGAGGCGUAGGCGUGGGCUGCCUGAUGAGGUGAAGGUAUGCAUUUCAUGACGGCGUGUGUCUGCGUGUGUCGGCAGGCUCGACUACCAGACCACCACCGCGCCGGACAGCAGCUUGGCCUUUCAGGUGAGCCCGUCCCAGUGGUUUUUGCCUCGUUUGCAUACGCGAGGGCAGAGACUUUCAGCUGCACCGACGCCGGUUUGCCUCACUAACUGAUUGCUGGUGUGGGCUGUAGGGUCUUUACUACGGCGGCUACACGUACAGCACCCAGCGAAGCUACUAUGGAGGUACGAGCCAGGCUCGAUGCGUGUCAUGCGAUUAAAAGCCCGCCACGCAGUUGCACGAUCGCACGCGCCACUCGGCACACUGAAUGCCCGUAUGUGUGCAACUGCUGCCGUAACGAACUUUUGCCUCUCGGCGAUUGCACAUGCGGUGGCACCAGUGGCCACACCCCCUCCCUAACCGCAUACAUACCGGUUUGCUGCCUUCUUUGCAGUUGACAACUUCGUGCCCCAGUCAUGCUUGGACAGCAAGAAGCCAGGUGCGUGCGUUCAGCACUUACGAGCACGCGCGGUGAACGUGACGCAGUGACUUCUACAUGUCGCCGGCUUUCCUUAUUGCCAUGCUGCCAUUUCUUGCACCCUGCAGGCAGUGAAUGCGUGGCGCUACUGCUGCAACAGCUGGAUGCAGGCAACCGCACCCUGUCACCCUCGGCGUCACCCAGCGCUGCGCCCAGCGACGAAAGCAGUUCCAAUGUGGCCGUGGUAAGAAAUAACUGGCAGGCAUGGGCUUGGCUAGCAAUGAGGCUUCCUUGGACUUCACGGGUUGCGGUGAAGUGGAACGCAAUUGAGUUGCCACUUGCUCUGCGCGACUGACACUCGCGCCUCUCUUCUCCACGGCUCCGCCAGGUCGUGCCGGCAGUGGUGGUGCCUGUGGUGGUGCUGUUGGUCCUGGGUGUCGGGGUGCUGGUGUGGGUGCGCCGGCACAAGCGCCAGCAGGCGUACACUAAGUCGGCUGGUCCCGGCGGCGCGGACGUUGAGUCCAACGGCGACGGCAAGGGCAGCGGUGCGAUGCAAGGCAGCGGCGCGCAGGGCAGCGGCGCCGUCGACGGCAUAUUCAUGGGGUUGGACGAAAACCAGCCGCUGCCGGAGUGGACACCCAUGCUAGCGGUGAGUGCGCUGGGGCGGUGAUGCGUUAAAGGGCUGGUAGCGCUGGGAUGUGGGGGGGGGGCUGCUGUGCAGCUUCAAAGGGUGAUGGACAAGCACGGCUGCUAUAGCUGGGCCUGGCACAUGGCAGGCCCCCACGACUGGUGUUGCUGGUCGGGAGCUGUCGAGUGCUACUUUUCAGUUGGUACUGAGUACUGCGCCUGAGCCACCUGGAAUGGCGCCUGAGCUGAAUCACCUGCCAUGCCAUCCCACGCAGGCUGAAGAGCGGGACCUGGACGACGAUGACGAUGACGAUGCGCCGUGCGCCAGCGACACACACCACCAGUCCUUCCAGCUGGUCAGCACCAGCGAGCGGGCCGGCGGAGACAUCAGCUACUCUGUGCAGAACCAGCAGCAGGCCCAGACGCUCAGCGUCGAGCCCGAGGCGGGAGCGGAAACGAAGGCUGGGGAGGAUCAGGAGACAUCUGGCCAGGUGACCAAACAGCAGCAGGUCGCAAACGGCGGCUCGCGUCGUGGCGGGUCACUGCUGCGGCCCACGUCCGCGCAGCUGCAGCAAAACGAGCCGCAGCCGCGGAAGCCGAACCUCUCUAUGUCGGGCACGCCCGCCCACAACCUCGCGCCCGCUGCGGCCGCUGUCGCAGCGAGAGCCGCAGCGUGCGGGGCUGCCGCGGCCGGGAACGGCGAGGCAGGCACAGGGCUGGCGUCGGGAGCAGUGGCGGGUCCGGGCCGUGAGGACGCCGGCGGGGCGACGCCGUCGGGCGAGGUGAGCAGCAGCCGUGUGCAGCAACAACAACAGCAGCAGCAGCUGGUGGAACCGCCGUCUGACAUGCUGGCGGAGCUGGGUCGCAUGGCGGCGGAGCUGCGCAGUAACGUGAAGGACGUGGCCAUCAAGCUAGAGGGCGUCAUCGGCAGCGGCUCCUUCGGCACGGUGAGGCGCGGUGGACAAGGACAUAGUGCUGACCGUAGCAUGACUGCAUGUGGUGGCGGAGAGGUUUGUGCAAAACAAUACAAGGGCCCGGCAGCUGGCUGCAUUUCCUGGACCAGCCGCUCGCGCUCCCGCCCUCGUAACACGCUUGACAUCUGGCCUCCGUGCAGGUGUACAAGGGCACUUGGCAGGGCCUGCCGGUGGCCAUCAAGACGGUGGUGUUCACGGCCUCCCAGGACAGCCGCCGCCGGGCGCUGUCGGAGGCCGCGCUAUGCCAGUCCAUCAGCCAUCAGAACAUCAUCGUGAGUGCGCUCAAAGGCACAAGCAAAAGGGGGCAUCACCGUCUGGUUAAGUUUGUCUUGCUUGCAUGUCCGGCGUGUCCGUUCCGCCAGUUAGUCGGGUAAUGCAUUGGCGUUUGGUGGGCGUUGCACUUUACGAUCCCUGCUUGCUGGUACUUGGCGCAUCGUGACUUUCCUGGCCUGAUCCUGCAGGCCACCUAUGCGAGCGAGCUACAGCCCAUCGGUGUUGUGAACAGCACGGCGUCGGCUGGCAGCAGCUCACAGGAGCCAAGCGGCGGCACCGGGCUGGGCCCACAGCCGUCCGGCGGCGGCGGCGGCAUGAUGGGCCGCGCCAUGACCCAAAUUGUGGUGAGUCGUUGAGUCCUGGCAGCGCCUUGUUGACGUGAACACAGAGCGCGCCCUGUUCCAGCUUGUCACAGUUACAGUUACAGCUUAAUCGAUUGCAUCUGGCGUGCGCUACGUUAACUUGGUCGUGGCUGCGUGCUCGGCCUCGCAGGAUUGGCGGCUGUACAUCGUGCAGGAGUUUGCGGACGGCGGCCCUCUGCGGAAGCUGUACGGUCACAAGUCCAUUUGGAUGGGCAAUGGCCAAGUGGACCUGGUGCGUGCUGCUGCGUUGAUGCGGGCCACCUGAUACACACGAUGUACGGAACUCGCACAACGCCAGUUGUCACAUCACGUCUGUUUCUUUACCCUUGUUGGUCAUUGCCCUUCGCAGCCGUCGAUCGUGGGUCUGGCUCUGGGCAUCGCCCGUGCGCUGUCGCAUCUGCACUCCAAACGCAUCAUUCACGGUGAGCAGCCCGCCGCACGCCACUGAGGCCGAUGCCGGCAUUUGAGGAGGUCCUUGCUAGGGGGCGAGCGAGAAGGGGUCACCAGGGUGCAUGCUCGUUUGACGGUGUGUGUGCCUCGCGCUCCGACGCGACAGGCGACCUGAACCCCAACAACGUGCUGCUCAAGCGCGACCCCAUCGAGCCGUCCGGCUACGCAAUCAAGGUCGGCGACUUCGGUCUGAGCGUGCUGCUGCCGCAGCACCGCACGCACCUGUCCAACGUGCGCAUGGGCACCAUGUUCUACAUGUGCCCCGCCGUCGUGCUUAAGGUGGGAGGAGCAGGGGCCCACACCCACACUCUAUGUGCCGCAGCGUUUUCCUUGAUUGUGCAAGUGUGUUGAAGCGCAUGGCGCUGGUUGGUAUCCGGGUGCCACUGUGCACUGACUGUACUCGCACGUGUGCCGCCCCGCUGGACUCCGCGCACAGGCGCAAGUCGGCCCUGCCUCAGAUGGUAAGCCGAAGCGCAGCCAAUCGCAUUUCCUUGCAUGGCCUUGCUGCUGUUUGCUCAAACUUGCCACCAGCGGUAUCAUGGCUCAGUCCUAACCCUGCUGUGUCGCCACCGCACUGCGCCUUGCUCUUUGUUGCAGUGUUCUCGCUCGGCGUCAUCCUGUGGUGGGUGCGGUUAGGGUCCCGAUGCGCUGUGUAGUGGCGCAGCUCCGUCGGACGGCCUGGAUGCAAUCAGGUCCUGGCGUAGGUGCCCUUGAUACUACCGUAUGUCCUCUGCGUAACCUUGCUUGCUUUGCCAUCCACAGGGAGCUUUACAACGGUCGCCGGGCUGGCGUGCGCACGGACCAGGGCCCGCGGUACUGCUCCAUCUUCCCCGCCUUCCCGCCCACGUGCCCAGAGGCCUACCGCGCGGUCACGCUGCACUGUCUGCAGGUGCGUGUGGUCCUGUGUUGCCUUGAUCGUGUACCGACACUGAGACUAAGCUGCCCGGCACGUUGACACCCGCCUCGCGGUGCUGCAGCUGCCGCUUCUCGCGCACAGUCCUUUCAAACCGGCUCCUGCAGCCUCAUGCCUUGCGCACCCCAUUCACGCCUGUGCAUCACCUCCUCGCCCCGCGAUGCGUGUUCGUGCCCACAGCGCCAACCCCAGAACCGUCCCACCGCUACAGCCGUGGAGGAGCACCUGGAGCAGCUGCUCAGCUCGCUCACAGGCGGCGUACUUCCAGCGCAGCGGGAGUACAUCUAAACAUAAGGGUUGCCCUCACGCAGUUGGCGUUUUGUCGCGGGGCUUGUUAUGUUGUUUGAAGUUUACAGCGUCACACAUAGUCGCCCGGUUGCGUUUGCUGUACCUAUGUGCUCCAUUUUCUGUGUGUCUGGUGGCGUUUUUUUAGGGUUUUAGGCUGAGCCCCCCGAGCGAAGCGAUCCAGGGGGGGCGAAGCCCCCCAGGGUUGCCCCUGUCCGUGCCUGCCUGGUCUGUGUGUCUGGUGGCGGCCGCCUACAUUGUGAGCUCCGGCCGAGGACAAGUCGACGGGAACUGUUGAUUAGUGCAAAUGCUUUGUGGUGUUGGACGUCCCAUUGCAAGGGGCAAUAGAUGACCGCGCGCUGCGCGUGCAAAUUGGUUGACGUAACGUCAGUGCAAGGCGGUUGGGGGAUUGGUAAGAGGCAGUUUGGCUUAGGAUCAACCGCGCGAUGGUAUUGUGGGCAGCGGGUGGCGCGCAUAUCGAGGUGGAUGCUCUGCAGCUGGUCCAGGUUUGCAGUGCGGCCGAGUCGGGCGCAGCUGUGGCGAGUGGUCGAAACCCCUCAGGGGUCCAUCUCGACACAUCAGGCACCACAACUUGUCACGACACACUUGCGGGGCACCGAGGACCGCUCGGAGUGCUCGCACGUGGCGGUGGAGACCCUGUCAGCGACGGCUGCCGGGCCCGCACACGCGCGUACAGGUGGGAAGGCGGCCAAGGAAGGGGCAUGGAAAAUGCGGUGGCCGGGUAGCUGCCGCUUCAAGAGCCCCGCCAGCCUUAUGCUGAGGGCGUGUGCAAGGAGCGCUGCAGCCGGGACUGCUACAAGCGGCUACAGCGGUAGCGGUGCGCAUGGUGGCUCUGCUGAUCAGUCAAUUUCAAUGUGUCAGUGUGAGGCACAGUAAGGGCGACCGGCGGUGCGCAUACAAGCCUUUUGGUCACAUGGAAACCUUUCUAGCAUUAUUACUAUUUGUUGUGGGGUGCGAGCUGCUUCAAAGAAGCGUGUCCAGCCUCAGUCACGGGUCUGUGACAUUCUGGGUGGCACGCGACACGACGGUUUUAGGCCGUGUGCACCACUGCACCUCCAACUCUCCAGGGCUGUGGGCAUGAGCCCGCGCCUUGUGAUAGCAUGUGCGUGCGCUUGCGGCGGCGCUUGAGCGGGGAUGCGAUCGUAUUUCCCGCCUUUCGGCGUUUUCCAGUGCACGCGGCACGUGUCCGGACAGGCAAUUGGUUUGGUUCAUUGCACUUCACGGGCAAUCACGCAUGGACACGCAUGACGUACAACGCAUGGUUGGUUGCGGCACUUCUUUCAAACUUCAUGGGGAUGCAGGGGUACCGUGAGGUUGGGUGUGGGGCUGUGGCGGCAUCGGCAUCACCCGUAGACUUGUUCAUGGGCUCACCACCGCCAUGCAUUUGAUGUGGGUUCGAAAGCCAUGAGCACAUGGGGUUGCUGAGUGGUUACCGCCCGAGAAGCGCAGGUGGCAAUCACCGCUAAGGUUUGGGUUGGAGCAGGUAGGGGCCAUGCCUGUGUUGGUGAGGCAGGUCACGGAUGUAGGGGUGUGCAGGCGAAUCAACUGUGCUGCACCGUACAGACCUGCGUGAUAUAACCGGAAAUCUUGCGUGAAGCACCAGUGGCAGCAGCUGCUGAGGUUGCGGGACGUGUGCCCAAGUGACAGCGCGUGGGGCGUGUGCGGGUGUGGGCGCUUUGGAAAGCGCAGGCGUCCUGCUUGUAUUGUCAGUCAAAGGGCAUAAUACUUUUGAACCUUUGCUUGCUGUCUGGGUAGCAUCACUACGGCAGACCACAAGGACGGCUGGGUCACCCUCUCGUGCCUUUAGCUGUGUUGCGGCUGCAAUAGCUGGAUAGCCCAUCCAAGGGCCUGAGUAGGACAUGUGUAUGAUUUUCACGUAAUUCAGGAUCCUCCGCACUCCAUGGAAAAUGGCUUUGCUCGACGCAUAUGACGGCAUUUGUAGGAUGAGACACCUGGUCGGCGUGCCCCGGUACUCAGGGACACCCAUGACUUCGCGCGGUGGCGCGGGCGCUGUGGGAUACUGCGGCUGAGGACGGACGGUGGUUGUGGAGAACAUGGCUGGGCGAGAGGGGCAGGCAGCACCACUUGCUGAGUACCGAUAGCUGGCACGAGUGAUGGUCGUGAGCAAGCGAAUUGAUGUGGCAUUCAGCAGGGGCGGGGCAGUUGACGCGGUCGCCGGCCUCGCGUGGGCCAUGCUGUCUAGUCACGCACGGUAAUGCUGCUGCCAGUUACCCGCGCCAACCGGAGUGCCCCUGGCUUCUGCCAUCACCGUGCUCCCACGCGAUGGCCACCAUGUGUUUGACCUAUGCCCAGUACCUGCGACACGUGUAUAAAUCAAACGGCCUACGAGGGCUAGCGCUGGACAAACCCGCAUGCAUGAGUACUCCGCAUGUCACAGACCUAGGCCGGACGGCAUGUUUGAAUGCCCGCGCCAGUGCUAGACGGCAAGCAAAGCACUGCGACCUCCACAUCGCGGGCGGGUACCGUCGACGGGCGCUACCGGCUACCGUACGGGUACGUACGCACGUGUGGACUCCUAGGUGGGCUGCGCUCAGCGGGAAAGUGGCGUCACGGUGUCGCUGCACUACCAGACCAGCCUCACACCCCCGGGCAUAGCUGGGGUCAGUUUUUGCAAGCACCACCAGGGCCAGGUGUCCGCUCGGUCCAGCAACAAACAAACCCAUACACGUCCAACACGCCGUGCGCCACGCAGCCGUCGCCCUGCUGGUUGCCCGCCCAGGAAGUGCAGUGUUCGCCUGCUGACUCCCACACCAUGCACCAGCCCUGACACCGGCCGGCCACAACCUGCGUGCCGGCGCCGCUUUGCUACUACAUGUGGCCUUGCCCUCCCCACCCGCUCCGCAUUAUACGCCGGUGCCGGGCCCCACGCUGCCGUCGCUUGAGUCGCUGCCACCAUCGGGGUCCAGCACCGCCGCUCGCGGACCCUGCAGAAGCGAGACAAGCAGGAUCAACAUAGUAACCUUGACUGAGUCGUGCGUCUCGGCUGCAACUAAGACGUGGAUACCAUCGUGCAGGUAUCUCCCCACGAUGAUGUUACCGGGUGCUGGCAGGGCAGUUGGCACCAACCUGCUUGCGGUGGAGCGGAGCCAGGCCGCUCCUGCCAGUGCAGCGCAGGUACCGCCACCAGCAGUGUGUGCGUUUGUAGCUUCUGAUCCCAAGUCUUGGACCCUUGUAGUAGCUUUUUUGUGCACAUUCUUGCACAUACCAAUCACGCCGCUACCCUCGCCGUACCGGUAGUACCAAUCACGCCGUAGUACCGGUACCAAUCACGCCGCUACCCGCGUGUUCCUCCAGUGUACGCCACCGCUAGCUACAACUCUACCGGGCUGGCUACUUGCCGGCCCCCUUGAGCACUGAUGAACAACGCAGCGGCCACAAGUAUAGUGCCUAGCGCUCUUAAAACGGCAUCUCUGGAGACCAGGCCGCCCGUCGUGUUGGUUGCGGCGAGCGCACCCCAGCCCCCGACUGCCACAAGCAACGCCCCGACCACGCCACCCACAGGAGGCCGCCCGGCGCCGCCGCUUCCAAGGUAGGACUCCAGCGAGGUUGCGUUGCUCAAAACAGCCAGCAAGCCAACUGCGACAAGAGCCCAGGCGGCGACCAUCCUCGGGCUGGAUGUCCGAGGGCCUCGCUCCGGCUCCAGGUUCAGUCCCAUGCUUGUUUCCAGUUACUCACAGAAUGGGUGACUGCUAUUGGAGUUCCGGCAGCUUACUACCGAACUCGUUUCGCCAGGUUUGACAAAAAUUCAAAAGCGAAUUUAUCCCUUUCGGAUAGACGAUAGCUGAUGUAUUAAUGACAUGCAUUGGUUGAAAUAGCCCGUUAAGCCAGUAUGUAGCCGUAUGGAGCCUUGGCCAUGGGGCACGGGUGGGGGGCUCUGAGCUCGCAGGACCCCAUCCAUGCAGCGAUCGCGCUGUCGUUACUUCCUCGGCCGCCCGGCGCCCUUGCUCAUUUAACCGCAUCCAUCACGUCCCCGUACUUAGUCUUGCUCUUCGUUUAGUCACCCCGCGCAGCGCACAGCCAUAACAGCCACAGCCCGCAGCCCGGCUUGCGCACCAUGUCCUUGCGGUCAUGUGCGUAACACUAUGAAGGUCGGCAGCCAACCAGGGGGCGGGUGUUGUUUCUCUGGGUCGCAGAUGGCCCUUCGCGGCGUGGGUACGGCGUGCCCCCGCUUGUCGGGCUGUCCCUUCAAUUGUAAUCCGC
rnacentral:lncRNA from 1 species